ACAGAUCUGGUGUGAGAGAAACAAGGAUGCCCUGGAACCCACGAGGACGAAGUAGAACCUACAUUCAUCUCUAACUGCCUCCAAAUCUCCAACUCUGAUGAGGCUGGUGAAAAGCUGGCCCCCUUUGUCAUGGAGCUAACGCACCUUGUCCAGAAGCUGGAUAAGCAGCAGGAUCCAGCAGGAACUGCGGCAGACCCAGCUGCUAUGUCAUGCUGACAGGAUGAGCCAGCAGAUCUGAGACAAGAUUAGGAACUGAAGCACAAACAGGUAAAGUAAAUUCAACAAGAUCAUAUAAACAGCCGGGAUGAACUCAGGACAUGGGACCUCCGGAGCCCUUCUCUUGCAUUUCCCUGCUUCACUCCUGGAUCCUGACUCAUUACAGAAAUAAUACAUCCAGUACCCUUUCUGCUCGAAGGCAGGAAAGUGAAUGCAGGAAAACGUGUUUUAACAAUGACGACUUAAAGCAAGAGUUUCCACUUAGCCCACAGCAGCCCUGAGACCCCCGGUAAGCCUGCAAUCCACAGAGGCAGGGGAUGUGAUUCUUCAUUGCCCUUGAAGUCACUUCCAACCUGUUUUGACCAUGUGACUGACAGACAAAAACCCAAACAGGUUGAGUAUUGCAGAAAAUAUGAAAUGAGCCUGAAGCCGGUAAAUCCAUGGAGGAUAAUUUUUUUUUUCCCUACAUCUGAUAACAAAAGGUCGCCAGCAUGACAAACCGCCUGCCUGCAAUUCACCUAUCUCAAAGUUCUCUUGGCUCUCUUUCUCUGUCUCUCUUUUUUUAACCUUGGACAUGGAAUGUGUGAAAGACAGACUGAACAGUAUCAAUAAAAAUCCCGAAGGCUAGAGACGUUUCUGCCAUUCACAGAAUUUAUGAAAAGCCCUCUGUCUGUGGAAGGCUUUCCCAGCUCGAAAGCCUCAGCGUGGCUGGCGAGUUCCCUGCAGCAGCUGGAAGCGGAGCUAUAAAUAGAGCUAGGCUGGAAGCGCCCUCCGCAGCGGGAGUGGGCGGGAGAUCCCCGGCUCUUCCCUCCCCAUCAGCCCGCGGCGCGAGCUCUCUGCCGGGGAAGCCUGCGCUGCGGGCUGACGGCGUUAACCCUCCCGACGCCGGGCAACUCCGGGAGGCAGCGGGAGGACGUGAUGGCGAACGGACUGGAAAGGGAAAUGAAGACACGCUUCUCACCUAGUACUGGCAAACCACAGUCUGGGAUUUCUCUCCCUCCCUCUCUUUCCCCCCAAGCUCUGGUUAACCCUUGAAAUUCGGCCUUGAAAUACACAGAGGGAAUUUGUUACAUGACUUAAAAAAAAAAAAAUUGAGCGGCUGAAAUCCAAAUCUUUAAAACCAUUCCCAAUUUGGUUUGCGGAAUAAUGUUGGUUGUCAUAUUUCGCCGUAGGGUUCCCUCGCCCGUGCUGCUUCUGGACAGUUACUUUCCUCGGGAGGGAACUGUCAAACGGUGUGUGUGUGUGUGUCUGUGGCCGUGUGUGUUAUUUUCGGCUGAUGCACACCCCUCGGUACCCUCGAGGUCGGCAAUACCCUGAGCCUUCUCGGCCCCCGCCUUCCGGGCUGGUCGCUGCCAGCCAAGGACUGGAAAAGGAGGGAGUCCCCAGUCCCGGCAGGGCAUCCUGCUAACAGGUUCAGAUUUCCGCAGGGUCGGUGCUGAAGCAGGGACGGGCAAGGGGCAGCUGGGCUCCAGGAAGGUGCACUCGGAAGAGCCACCAGUGGGCGACAGGGACCCGGCCCGGCCCCCGCGCGCCCGGUCUCCCCCGGCGGGUGCUCGGAGCCCUGGAGAGGAGGCGCAGGCAGGGGACGCGGUGCGCUCCCCGGCGGCGAACUGUCACGGAAUUCGACACCCGGAAAGGCAGCUGGUCCCUGGCCAGCACUCCUGAUCCUUCUCAAAUGGAAACACUUUCUUCCGAUGAACCUGCCGGAAUUCUCAGUGGCAUCUCACCUCGGCCUUGCCUCCUGGCGCACUUAACAUAAGCCGCAUUUAUCACUUUGAGACAAGGAAGGUUCCAAAUGGAGCGGGGCUCUCGGUUGCAGAACAAGCUCAUGCAGUAAUAGUACCAACAGAGUGUUUUGGAUGAGAGCCUCUUCUUUCAUGUAUGGAUAAAAUUCAUACGCAGUUAUUAAAAUCAGUUGAAUAUAAACAGACUAUUCUAAGAUGCAGGAGUCAAUGGCCCCCAUGUGGAGAUGACGUGGAGGCUUGCACAGCCAACUUUGUCCAUGGUGGAGCCCCGUUACAUGCUCCCUCGUGUUUGCUCUCCUUAUUUUCCUGCCUGACUCUGCUUCCCCAAGAUUACAUCUCACUGCCACCACCCGCACCAGGAAAAUUUGCGUGCAGUCUAUUGUCUCUCAGCUUUUUAUGGUCCCAAAACUUGUAUUUUGCCAGUGUCCUCAGCAAUUAACAGUAUCCUCAGAACUGGUGCAGACUAAUCAAACUCAUGGAGAUGAAGCUUUCAGCCCUGGUGAUAAUUCGUCAGCACUGAUCUUACUGGAAUAUUCUCACCAGUGUCCCCCAGAGGAUUGGCCUGAGGAGUACAGCAGCCUCUCUGCGGCAGACCCAAGGGUAAGCACGUGGGAUGUCUUUAAACUGGCUUGAUCACAUUGGCCAUCGUUCAUUUUCAAAAUGUCUUUACCUUUGAGUAACUUCUCAUCUGCUUAUUCUCUUGACACAUUCACUCUCUCCCUGUAAAUCUGCAUUCCAGACUUUAUCCUGAUUGUUCAAUUAGCACAGACUUCACUGCUGGCUCCUUGUUAGUAUUACUGCUGUGAUAAUAACCUUUUUAGAACCUGGUUCAGUGUGGAUUCAAAAGAGCCUUACCAUUUACAGUCCCACAAG